rnacentral:rRNA from 1 species
GCUUGACUGUAGCUUGCAAUUGGGUUCGGGCUUUUUUUGCGCAGCCUAGGUGGGAGGCAACGAUGAUUUUUUUCCGGAAAAAUUUGAGCCAUUCGUGAGAGACCACUCUGAAAAGGCUAGAAUCCUAAUAAUGAUCCUUGAAUCAGGACAUUUGACAGUUGCAGGUGGCAGUUUUACUGGGGCGGUAUUCUCCUAAAAAGUAACGGAGGGGUGCAAAGGUUCCCUCAGGCUGGACGGAAAUCAGCUUAAGAGUGUAAAGGCAAAAGGGAGCUUGACUGCAAGACCUACAAGUCGAGCAGGGGCGAAAGCCGGCCUUAGUGAUCCGACGGUACCACGUGGAAGGGCCGUCGCUCAACGGAUAAAAGUUA